CAAGCUCUCACUCUCUCUAUAAAUCAGCCCAGGCUCUCGAUUAUUUUAUUUGUUUUUAUAGAAAAAUACAUAUAUCCAUGGGCUGGUAUAUCAGAUAUUUGAUGAGAUAGUACAUGCAUAUAUUAUGUCUAUAUAUUGUUGGAUUAAACUAUAGCUUAGAAAAAUGGUAUUGUUUACUCAAUAUGGGUAUUGCUUUCCUAAAUUGGAGAUGCAAAUAUCUUUAUCCCUUUUUUUUUUGUAUCAAAUUUGAUUAUCUGUGUUUUAACUAUCCAUCGCUUUGUUUAGCUCUAUGUGUGUAUGAGAGAGAGAGAGAGAGAGAGAGAGAGAGAGAGAGAUUCGUGUAUGUGAUUAAAUGCAUUAAAAUAAUUUAUCAAUCGAAAGCUACAACUUUAGUAUGAAGUUUUGCUUGAAUUUGAAAUGCAUUCAAAUCAUUUAUAAGGCCAAAAGUUUGCUUGCUAGGUUCUUUGAAAUUAGUGGUAUAUGUUCACAUCUAUAAAGUCAUUUGGUUUUGUUUGAUUUUGCAAAUGAAAGGCAAUGUGCUAGUGUAAAAGACAUUGGAGCUCAUAUUCUCACUCUUAGAUAUGAACUGGUUUUAGCAGAAAAUUGCAUGUUCAUCUUAAAGGUUGGGUCAUCUUUUGAGGCUCUUUAUUUGAAGACUACUUUCCAUCAUUUACUAAAAGAUCGAGAGCCGUUAUCGGGGUAAAAUCGUAUAGAUUGCAAUAUUCAUAUAAUUAUUGCUAGAAAUGUUUAUAUAGGUUAUAUACCCCCCAAAAAUAUGCCUAGCUCUUGUUAAAAUUUAAUAGUAGCUCUUUUUACAAAAAUCUAGCUUGAGCCUACCAAAUUUGGGCAAGUUCAAGGCCAGUAUUAAGACAUUGUAUAUGCAAUGUGUGAAGUGUAAGUUAUUACAAAUCUUGUGCAGGACAAGAGAAAAUGAGUGAUAACAGAUUGUACAUUUUUAUUGACCGUAGAAUCAAGUGUCGAUGUAAUUUGAGAUUAUAUUGGUGGUGAUGCAUGUACCUUUUUUAUUGAUAGUAGAAUUAGGUUAGAUGACAUGCAAAAAUACAUAGCAGAUUGUUUCUCACUUGACAUAUACUUGAUAUCAUUGAGGUAUUUUGUUUCAAGAAAUAGAAGAUUUAUUGUGAUUAUUCAUUGACAAAGAUAUUGAGAUGAUGUUGAACGCUCAUGACGGCGAGAAUGAUGUGAUCAUCCAUGUAUUUGAUGGGAGUGAACGUAGGGGUGGAAGUAUUUCAUAUAAUUCUAUGGCAAUCGAAGAGGUCAGAUCCCCCAAAUCCUUUAAUGUUUUCGUCUCUUGUUCUGAACAAAGCAAUGCCUCAGUUUAUGGGAGGAUGUACUUACCAGGGCAUGGGAGGAGUUUGAAUAACUGGAUGACUUUCUAGAAGCCCUUAGCGCGUUUGCUAUAGCACAUCAUUUCACAUAUUGUUUUGUUAAAAAUUAGGGGUAUCACAUAAGGGCGAAAUGCAAGGGUGAUGGAUGUAAAUGGGAGAGAUAUACUUCGAAGUUUGGUAGGAUGAAUGUUUUUAAAUCAAAACAUGAAAAAGAGAACACUCAUAUAAUAUUGGGACAAGCAAUGAUGUACAGAGAAGAGAGCCAUAAAAAUUUGUUGUUUCCUUAAUUAAAGAUAAAUUAAGUGACAAUGCGCAUUACAAUGCUAAAGAAACCACGAGUGAUUUGUCUCGAUAUAUUGGGAUAGAACUACCCUAUUGAAAUGCUUGGCGAGGGAAAGAAACGGCUAUCAUGGCCAUACAUGGUUCACAAGAGGAGGCAUAUAACCAGUUAUCGACAUAUGUAAAUUGUGUGAUGGACACGAAUCUUGAGAGUUAUGCAACAUGACACAUAUGACCGGAUGGUAGAUUUCAUCGUUUAUUCUUAAGCUUUUAUAGCUCAAUACAUAGCUUUAAAAGUGGAUGUCGUCCACUUUUAUUUUUCGAUGGAACAUCAUUAAAGACACGAUACUUUGGGACUCUACUUGUAGCCAACUCACUUGAUGGAGAAGAACAAAUAUUUCCUGUUAACUGAUUAUGAUUUAUAGAAUCUUUGAAGAUUUUAUUGGGACAUAUUGUGAAAUCGUUUUUGUGUCAGAUAGAUAUUAGGGGUCUAGUUGAGACUGCUUGUCAAGUUUUUGAGAAUGCCCAUCAUACUUUUUGUGAGUGCCAUUUAGUGAAAAAAUUCAUGAAGGAAGAAAAACAUAUACCUAAUGAUGUUAAGACGGUCGUUGUAAGUGCCUUUGUCGGAGCAUGUAGAGCAUACAAACAUCAAGAGUAUUUUGGCAAGAUGAGUGAAAUUAAAUCAAUUUCGGAUGAUGCAUUCAAGUGAUUCAUGGAAGCAUCUCUAAACCAAUGGGCCACAUCACUCUUCAGGAGUGAGCGAUAUGGCCAAGUAACAACCAAUGUGGCUGAGUCAUUUAAUAAGUGGAUUCUAAAAGCACGAGAUAUACCAAUUCUCCAGUACGUUGAUUUGAUUAGGAAGCAAAUAAUGAAAUUAAUGGCCAUCUGCAGCUUCGAAGCUAAAACCCAAACUACAAUACUUACCCCACACACUCAAGAUGAACUGAGAAAGAUCAUAAAGCUAUCUCUUUCUGUGAGUGUCAUUGUAUCAAAUAGAUGAGUGUUUGAAGCAAGGGGUGAUCACAUGAAUUAUAAGAUAAAUAUUAUUGUACGAGAAUGUGAAUGCCGUGGUUGGGAAAUGAUGGCUUUACCUUGCAAGCAUGCUUGUAAAGCCCUUCAAUGGAUGAAUAGGGAUCCUAUUGACUUUUGUGAAGACUAUUUAGAGGUUGAAAAAUAUCGUGAAACAUAUUUCGAAGCUAUCAUGCCAGUUACCUUGAUCGACCUGUCUGAGCAUAGUUUGUGUGGACAACUUCCUCCAAAUGGAUUAAGAGUGCUUCCACCUCAUUCAAGACGUCCCUUUGACCGACAUAAAAAGAAAAACAUUCGUAGUUGGAAGUACUAGUGUGACCUACCCACUGUAGUCAGUGCAAAAGAACUGGUCACAAUAUGGCAACAUGUAAAGCACCUACUUGAAAGCAUAUAUUUUUACUUAUCUUCUUUACUUUAUCUUUUUUAAUUAGAUCACCCACUUGUGGGAAAUUUUGUUAGUACAUAUAUUAAUGGCGUUUAUUCUACUUAUAUUCAUUUCGUGCUAUUGGCACACAUAUAAUUAUGUUUGUUUCUUUCCCAUUGGAGCACCAUCAUUUGUUUUGUAUGGGCCAUUUUCUCUCUUUUUUUAUUGGAGCAUCUUCUUGUGGUUAUUUAUUUCCAAUUCAUAUGUACAUACUUUUAAAAUGAUGUGUUGUGUACAUGUAAAACUUUGAUAAUUUAAAUAGAUUUAGUGAUGCAAGACCUGAAACAACCAAGAGGAACAGGUGACCCAUCCACUUCGUCCGAUCAAAGGCAAGAGGUACAAUGGUCUAUUUGUUUUAGUUUACAUUAAUUGGGUAAUUAUCAUAUUGUUAAUAACUAUUGUCAUUUCUUAUUGAAUUUCAUUUCAGGAGAGAAAAAAUAUUUGUAUUGACAAAUCAACUAAAACCUUAGAAAAAUGGGAGCUCUAUCGACAAUGAGUAGCUCUGGUUCAAACGACCAAAUUGAGCUCAUUAAUAGACAUUAAGGUCUCUUAUAUGGAUUGCAAACUAUUGAAGGCCUUUAUAGGGAAAUGAUACACAGAGAUAAAUACCACACGACUAACCAUUGGUGAGAUGACUUUAACCCUAUACACUGUGUUGUAGAUAUUAAUGAUACCUGUGACAUGCGAGUAUAUUCCUAGAAGAUAAUAAGUUGAUGCAUUUUAAUCAUACAUGGUUGAGGACGAGAUUCAGGCAACUACCAAACAAGCCCAAUAAAGUACAACUGAUGCAACACACUCGAGCAUAUGUUCUUUAUUUAGUCAGUACGAUUAUAUUUGCUGACGCAUCUAAAAGAUUGACACUUGCAAUUUAUAUGCAAUUGUUUCGAUAUUUCAAUAAGGCAAGGAAGUAUGUAGGGGGUAUUGCGGCGUUUGCCUUCUUGUAUCGUUCCUUAUCUAAGGUCGUGGGUGGGGAUACGAUGCAUUUUAUUGGGUCAGCAACACUUAAAGCUUUACAAUUUCUUUGGCUUCUUAUGAUUUGCUUUUACUAUUUUUGGUGCAGUGCUGAGUCUAUGAGCAUUUUUCAAAAACCACUCCACAAAGACCCAUUAAAAGCACUUGAUGAUAUCUCAUUUGACGUGGUGAUCUGGCAAGCAUAUGAGGAGUACAACCCAUUAGAUCUACUCAGUAAAGAAACCACGUUGUACUGAAUAUAGCUGAUAAAUUUCAACAUUGUAGAGUACUAUAUGCCCGAUCGCAUGUUGCGGUAAUUUGAGAAGAUGCAUGGGAUUUCUGUUGAGCCUCCAAAGUGGGAUAGGAGGGAGAGAUGAUCGGUAUACACCUCACAAGUUGGAUUAACGAGUUGAGCAGGCAAAUACGUGACUGGCGGGAACGAGAAUACAUGUCUUCAUGGAAGAUGUGGAUAAAUAUCAUGGAAUACCUACAGGAGAGUACAAGGCCUGACACAAAAUGUUUACCUACAGAUAUAGAAAUACCACAUGUCUUUCCCUACCGUCGCAAUCACAUGUACAAUCUGCCAUAGGCCAUGAUGACGACAAGAGAUUGAGCCAAGUUCCGAGGAGGUGGUGGAGCGUAGGAAAAUGAGAGCAACGUAGGAGAUGGUGAAGAAGAUGAAAGCGAGAGCGAGGAGGGAGAUGGUGGAGAGGAGGAAAAUGAGAGUGAGGAGGAAGAUAGUGGAGAGGAGGAAGCGAAAGUGAGGAAGGAGAUGGUGGAGUUGAUGAAAGCAAGAGCGAGGAGGACAAUGAGAGGAGAAUUAAUAGAAGAGAUGACCAGUUUGAAGUGUCCAUCCUUGCACCGGCCUUAUAUGAAGAAUCAAGGUAGAAUUUGUGAUCUCGAAGAGAGGGGGAUGCCCAGAGGAAACGAUUAUAGAGGAACCCGAUAUGAAUAAAAAGGGUAUUCCUAGUAGCCUAAAAAAGGUCGGAGGCGAAGAAAUUGACUAAUAUGUAGUUUUGAGUAUAAUAUGUACUUUUGAAACAUUUUUUGAGUUUGAUAUGUAUUUUUGAAAUAGAUCUAUAAGUAAUUUUACUUUUGAAA